rnacentral:rRNA from 1 species
GAUGAAAGCUAGCUACAGGCUUAACACAUGCAAGUCGAGGGGUAACGAGAGGAAAGCUUGCUUUCCUUGUCGACGACCGGCGCACGGGUGAGUAACGCGUAUCCAACCUGCCCCCAACUAGGGAAUAACCUUGCGAAAGUAAGACUAAUACCCUAUAAUUUCCUCAGAUGUCAUCUGACGAGGAAUAAAGGUUUAUCGGUUGUGGAUGGGGAUGCGUCUGAUUAGCUUGUUGGCGGGGUAACGGCCCACCAAGGCAACGAUCAGUAGGGGUUCUGAGAGGAAGGUCCCCCACAUUGGAACUGAGACACGGUCCAAACUCCUACGGGAGGCAGCAGUGAGGAAUAUUGGUCAAUGGGCGGAAGCCUGAACCAGCCAAGUAGCGUGCAGGAUGACGGCCCUAUGGGUUGUAAACUGCUUUUAUACAGGAAUAAAGUUAGCCACGUGUGGUUAUUUGUAGGUACUGUAUGAAUAAGGACCGGCUAAUUCCGUGCCAGCAGCCGCCGUAA